UGCACCGGUCGGCCUGCCUGGUCACGGCCGGACUGGACUACGUGCAUCGUGCGUGCUCCAGUCCGGCCGUGGCCCGGCUUUGCACUUCGCCACAUUGUGAAGACUGGGCCGCCUAAGAGCUUUUCCGUUUCCUACACGCACAAGCAUCUGAGCAACGCACCCGUAUGCUCUACCCCUGGGGUACAGAUCGACACGCAAUUAUGAGGACCUACAUUCAUCGACGCCCUCAUCCAAGCGAAGACAGCUAAACCUCUCUCAAGCACCGAGAUUGCCGAAUGGGGGAUCCUUGGCUCGCCGACUCUACGCCGCCUGAGGGUGCCUUCGCUGGUCUACAGGGGUCUUUGUCCCAGUGUUUCUGGUCUACGUUCUCGACUACCUACAAUGGACGACACAUUUUUUUUGUUCUUCUUUUUAAGAAGGUUUUCCAAACAAUAACUGCGAGCUCCGUGUCGACUUCUGGUUUCUCCAGGGGGAUGAAGAUUGCAAGCGAUUUUACAUUUCAAGAAUAAAUACACGACUCUGUUUU